GUGGGGAAUUUUGGACAAUGGGGGCAACCCUGAUCCAGCCAUGCCGCGUGCGGGAAGAAGGCCUUCGGGUUGUAAACCGCUUUUGUCAGGGAAGAAAUCCUUUGGGUUAAUACCUCGGAGGGAUGACGGUACCUGAAGAAUAAGCACCGGCUAACUACGUGCCAGCAGCCGCGGUAAUACGUAGGGUGCGAGCGUUAAUCGGAAUUACUGGGCGUAAAGCGUGCGCAGGCGGUUUUGUAAGAUCGAUGUGAAAUCCCCGGGCUCAACCUGGGAACUGCAUUGGUGACUGAAAGGCUGGAGUGCGGCAGAGGGGGAUGGAAUUCCGCGUGUAGCAGUGAAAUGCGUAGAUAUGCGGAGGAACACCGAUGGCGAAGGCAAUCCCCUGGGCCUGCACUGACGCUCAUGCACGAAAGCGUGGGGAGCAAACAGGAUUAGAAACCCUAGUAGUCC
rnacentral:rRNA from 1 species